GAGCAACUCACAAACUAAACGCAACAUCCAACACAAAGUAGGCAUAUAUACUUGGAGCGAUAGAGGAUUAUUAUUCAUCAUCAGAAAAAAACAUUAUUCAUCAUGAACGGAAAUAUACUUUGUUGUAUAUUUUUGCUUGGAUAUCUUUCAUCAUCAGGACAAGCUCAAACAACAACAACUGUGGCUCCAUCAACUAUAAUGACGACUGUGGCUCCAACAACUACAACCGCAACUCAACCUCCAACAACCACAACCACAGCUCCAACAACCACAACUCAAGGUCCGACAACCACAACUCCAGCUCCAACAACCACAACCGCAGGUCCAACAACCACAACUCCAGCUCCAACAACCACAACCAAAGCUCCAACAACUACAACCACAGCUCCAACAACUACAACUCAAGUUCCAACAACCACAACCGCAGCUCCAGCAACCACAACUGAUGUUCCAACAACCACAACCGCAGCUCCAACAACUCCAGCUCCAACAACCACAACUCCAGCUCCAACAACCACAACCGCAGCUCCAACAACCACAACUCCAGCUCCAACAACCACAACUCCAGCUCCAACAACCACAACCUGCAGCUCCAAAUACUACAACUCAAGGUCCAACAACCACAACUGCAGCUCCAACAACCACAACUCCAGCUCCAACCACCACAACCGCAGCUCCUACAACCAACACUCCAGCUCCAACAACCACAACCGCAGCUCCAACAACCACAACCACAGCUCUAAUAACCACAACUCCAGCUCCAACAACCACAACUCAAGCUCCAACAACUACAACUCCAGCUCCAACCACAACCGCAGCUCCAACAACUACAACUCCAGCUCCAACAACCACAACCGCAGCUCCAACAACCACAACUCCAGCUCAAACAACCACAACCGCAGCUCCAACAACUACAACUCAAGUUCCAACAACCACAACCGCAGCUCCAACAACCACAACUCCAGCUCAAACAACCACAACCGGAGCUCCAACAACUCCAACUCCAACAACCACAACCGCAGCUCCAACAACCACAACUCCAGCUCCAACAACCACAACCGCAGCUCCAACAACCACAACUCCAGCUCCAACAACCACAACUAAAGCUCCAACAACCACAACCGCAGCUCCAACAACCACAACUCAAGUUCCAACAACCACAACUCCAGCUCCAACAUCGACAACCGAGGCUCCAACAACUCCAGCUCCAACAACCACAACCGCAGCUUCAACAACCACAACUCCAACAACCAGAACCGCAGCUCAAACAACCACAACUCCAGCUCCAACAACUACAA
rnacentral:lncRNA from 1 species